GACGAACGCUGGCGGCGUGCUUAACACAUGCAAGUCGAACGCGCCUGUCCUCUGGGUUUCUGGGGGGUGGGUGAGUGGCGAACGGGUGAGUAACACGUGAGUAACCUGCCCCCUUCUUCGGGAUAACGGUCUGAAAGGGCUGCUAAUACCGGGUAUUCACUGGUCUCCGCAUGGGGUCUGGUGGAAAGGUUUUUUUCUGGUGGGGGAUGGGCUCGCGGCCUAUCAGCUUGUUGGUGGGGUGAUGGCCCACCAAGGCUUUGACGGGUAGCCGGCCUGAGAGGGUGACCGGUCACAUUGGGACUGAGAUACGGCCCAGAAUCCUACGGGAGGCAGCAGUGGGGAAUAUUGCACAAUGGGCGCAAGCCUGAUGCAGCGACGCCGCGUGAGGGAUGGAGGCCUUCGGGUUGUGAACCUCUUUCGCCCGUGGUCAAGCCGCGACGUGGGUCGUGGUGAGGGUAGUGGGUAAAGAAGCGCCGGCUAACUACGUG
rnacentral:rRNA from 1 species